UACGUAGGUGGCGAGCGUUGUCCGGAAUCAUUGGGCGUAAAGGGCGCGUAGGUGGCGCGGCAAGCGUGCGGUGAAAGCUCGGGGCUCAACCCCGAGUCGGCCGUGCGAACUGCUGGGCUUGAGCACUGUAGAGGCAGGCGGAAUUCCGGGUGGAGUGGUGAAAUGCGUAGAGAUCCGGAGGAACACCAAAGGCGAAGGCAGUGUCCUGGGGAGUACCUGACGCUCAGGUGCGAAAGCCAGGGGAGCGAACGGG
rnacentral:rRNA from 1 species